UACGGGGGGAGCAAGCGUUGUUCGGAUUUACUGGGCGUAAAGGGCGCGUAGGCGGCCACCGCAAGUCGAUUGUGAAAUCUCCGGGCUUAACUCGGAAAGGUCAACCGAUACUGCGGGGCUAGAGUGCAGAAGGGGCAACUGGAAUUCUCGGUGUAGCGGUGAAAUGCGUAGAUAUCGAGAGGAACACCUGCGGCGAAGGCGGGUUGCUGGGCUGACACUGACGCUGAAGCGCGAAAGCUAGGGGAGCGAACGGG
rnacentral:rRNA from 1 species